CAAACUCCGAAUGCCAAUUAAUUUAACUUGGGAGUCAGAACAUGGGUGAUAAGGUCCGUGUUCGAAAGGGAAACAGCCCAGACCACCAGCUAAGGUCCCAAAAUAUAUGUUAAGUGGAAAAGGAUGUGGCGUUGCCCAGACAACUAGGAUGUUGGCUUAGAAGCAGCCAUCAUUUAAAGAGUGCGUAAUAGCUCACUAGUCGAGUGACACUGCGCCGAAAAUGUACCGGGGCUAAACAUAUUACCGAAGCUGUGGAUUGUCCUUUGGACAAUGGUAGGAGAGCGUUCUAAGGGCGUUGAAGCAUGAUCGUAAGGACAUGUGGAGCGCUUAGAAGUGAGAAUGCCGGUGUGAGUAGCGAAAGACGGGUGAGAAUCCCGUCCACCGAUUGACUAAGGUUUCCAGAGGAAGGCUCGUCCGCUCUGGGUUAGUCGGGUCCUAAGCUGAGGCCGACAGGCGUAGGCGAUGGAUAACAGGUUGAUAUUCCUGUACCACCUAUAAUCGUUUUAAUCGAUGGGGGGACGCAGUAGGAUAGGCGAAGCGUGCGAUUGGAUUGCACGUCUAAGCAGUAAGGCUGAGUAUUAGGCAAAUCCGGUACUCGUUAAGGCUGAGCUGUGAUGGGGAGAAGACAUUGUGUCUUCGAGUCGUUGAUUUCACACUGCCGAGAAAAGCCUCUAGAUAGAAAAUAGGUGCCCGUACCGCAAACCGACACAGGUAGUCAAGAUGAGAAUUCUAAGGUGAGCGAGCGAACUCUCGUUAAGGAACUCGGCAAAAUGACCCCGUAACUUCGGGAGAAGGGGUGCUCUUUAGGGUUAACGCCCAGAAGAGCCGCAGUGAAUAGGCCCAAGCGACUGUUUAUCAAAAACACAGGUCUCUGCUAAACCGUAAGGUGAUGUAUAGGGGCUGACGCCUGCCCGGUGCUGGAAGGUUAAGAGGAGUGGUUAGCUUCUGCGAAGCUACGAAUCGAAGCCCCAGUAAACGGCGGCCGUAACUAUAACGGUCCUAAGGUAGCGAAAUUCCUUGUCGGGUAAGUUCCGACCCGCACGAAAGGCGUAACGAUUUGGGCACUGUCUCAACGAGAGACUCGGUGAAAUCAUAGUACCUGUGAAGAUGCAGGUUACCCGCGACAGGACGGAAAGACCCCGUGGAGCUUUACUGUAGCCUGAUAUUGAAAUUCGGCACAG
rnacentral:rRNA from 1 species